UACGAAGGGGGCUAGCGUUGUUCGGAAUUACUGGGCGUAAAGCGUGCGCAGGCGGCCAUCCAAGUCAGUGGUGAAAGCCCGGAGCUCAACUCCGGAAUUGCCAUUGAAGCUGUUUGGCUCGAGUACGAGAGAGGUGAGUGGAAUUCCCAGUGUAGAGGUGAAAUUCGUAGAUAUUGGGAAGAACACCGGUGGCGAAGGCGGCUCACUGGCUCGUAACUGACGCUCAUGCACGACAGCGUGGGGAUCAAACAGG
rnacentral:rRNA from 1 species